AAGAGCAAUGAUACUACUUUCAUCCAUUGUCAACAAGAGUGUCUCACCCUCCCCUGCACAGCCUGAAGCACCUUUGCAAAACUGAGGUGGAGAAGCAACUCUGUGAGUUGUUAGGUGAUAUAAUCACUGAUUUCCAAAUAAGGAGGCCAAGGUUCAGAGUCAUUAAGCAGUUUCACCCAAGAUCACAAAGACAAGAAGUGGCUUUUGGAAUCUGAAGUGGGAUUUGAACAUAGGAUCUUUGACCCUAAGGUUUGAUGCUGAAUGGAAGUUUGCUAGGAAGACAAAGGAAAUAGGAAGCUGUAGAAGGCGUUUCUGGAAGAGGGUGCAGCAUGUACAAAGGCAUGAAGAUAUGAGAUUUUGCAGAUAAUGAAGAAAAGAUCCCAUGCUAGAAAGAGAGAUGUGGGUAAGUAGAAGGUAAGGCUGCAGAGAAAGUGGAGGAGAUAACAUGAUAGGAACAGGGUUUUUUAGGGGAAACAAUCGAUUGCAGAAGGCACAGGAUGGCACCUGAAUUUUCCAAGGGUGGGGUACACACAUCUGGUACGUUCUUCUACCCAGACUCGGUGGCCAGUGGCUGACCAGCAGAACUGGCGGCUGGGCAUGCAUGCAUAUAGGGAUCGGGCAGAGGCCCCUAAACAGACAUGCACAAAAGAGCCCUGCAAACCUUG
rnacentral:lncRNA from 13 species